CAUCUCUACAUCUGCGGGCCGGUAGGCCACCCAAUCCUGCGAGAUCCUCGGCGUUAUCCUCCGCGAAGUGGUUGCUCCGGGACGAGGUAGCAUCAAUGCUUCUUAAAAGAGCGCCAAUAUGAUUUGGUAAUCCAAAACCAAGGCCAAGCAUCAUUUUUCCUCCGUUGUGAGGGAGCUCUCUUUGGGAAGAGUUCCUGGAGCCCCCCUCCCAGUAGCUGGUCCGAGAGGAUGAUCAGCCACACUAGGACUGAGACACGGCCCAGACUCCAAUGGGAGGCAGCAGUGGAGAUUUUCUGCAUUGGGUGAAAGCCUGAUGAAGCAAUG
rnacentral:ncRNA from 1 species